UACGUAGGGUGCGAGCGUUAAUCGGAAUUACUGGGCGUAAAGCGUGCGCAGGCGGCUUUGCAAGACAGAUGUGAAAUCCCCGGGCUUAACCUGGGAACUGCAUUUGUGACUGUAGAGCUGGAGUGCGGCAGAGGGGGAUGGAAUUCCGCGUGUAGCAGUGAAAUGCGUAGAUAUGCGGAGGAACACCGAUGGCGAAGGCAAUCCCCUGGGCCUGCACUGACGCUCAUGCACGAAAGCGUGGGGAGCAAACAGG
rnacentral:rRNA from 1 species